AUACGUAGGGUGCGAGCGUUGUCCGGAAUUACUGGGCGUAAAGAGCUCGUAGGUGGUUUGUCGCGUCGUCUGUGGAAUUCCGGGGCUUAACUCCGGGCGUGCAGGCGAUACGGGCAUAACUUGAGUACUGUAGGGGAGACUGGAAUUCCUGGUGUAGCGGUGAAAUGCGCAGAUAUCAGGAGGAACACCGGUGGCGAAGGGGGGUCUCUGGGCAGUAACUGACGCUGAGGAGCGAAAGCAUGGGUAGCGAACAGGAUUAGAUACCCUGGUAGUCCAUGCCGUAAACGGUGGGCGCUAGGUGUAGGGGUCUUCCACGACUUCUGUGCCGUAGCUAACGCAUUAAGCGCCCCGCCUGGGGAGUACGGCCGCAAGGCUAAAACUCAAAGGAAUUGACGGGG
rnacentral:rRNA from 1 species